rnacentral:rRNA from 1 species
AACGAACGCUGGCGGCAUGCCUACCACAUGCAAGUCGAACGAGACCUUCGGGUCUAGUGGCGCACGGGUGCGUAACGCGUGGGAACCUGCCCUUAGGUUCGGAAUAACUCCCCGAAGGGGGUGCUAAUACCGGAUAAUGUCUUCGGACCAAAGAUUUAUCGCCUUUGGAUGGGCCCGCGUUGGAUUAGCUAGUUGGUAGGGUAAAAGCCUACCAAGGCGACGAUCCAUAGCUGGUCUGAGAGGAUGAUCAGCCACACUGGGACUGAGACACGGCCCAGACUCCUACGGGAGGCAGCAGUGGGGAAUAUUGGACAAUGGGCGAAAGCCUGAUCCAGCAAUGCCGCGUGAGUGAUGAAGGCCUUAGGGUUGUAAAGCUCUUUUACCCGGGAUGAUAAUGACAGUACCGGGAGAAUAAGCUCCGGCUAACUCCGUG